rnacentral:rRNA from 1 species
UACGGGGGGAGCAAGCGUUGUUCGGAUUUACUGGGCGUAAAGGGCGCGUAGGCGGUCGUGACAAGUCACUUGUGAAAUCUCCGGGCUUAACUCGGAACGGUCAAGUGAUACUGUCGGACUAGAGUACAGAAGGGGCAACUGGAAUUCUCGGUGUAGCGGUGAAAUGCGUAGAUAUGCGGAGGAACACCGAUGGCGAAGGCAAUCCCCUGGGCCUGCACUGACGCUCAUGCACGAAAGCGUGGGGAGCGAAACAAGG